UAUGUACCUAAUCUUGUAAUAAAUAAAAAUCAUACUCAAUGAAAUAAAAUCAAGCUCGAUUGCUUUACAAACAAAAAAGAUUUAAAGUUAAUGUUGGUUAUUUUGAAUAUAAAAUGUCUAUAAAUAUAAGUAAUAUGAAUCGGAACGACGACUAAACAAAAAACAAAUCAAAUAUCAGGAUUAUAUACUUCUUGUACAAAUUUUUAGGGUUUGCGAUGAAGAAGCUACUAAUAACUUCGUUAAUCUACCAGUAAAGCGCAAACUUGAAAGAGUAUCUCAAUAUACUGGCGUAAGCAUUUUAAUGGUGAAAAAAAUUCACAAAGAAGAUGAAGAAAGAAUGCGGACGGACCCCAACAAAAAGCUUUCUAGUCCCGGCAAAAAAAACCGCGAAUGACGAAGGUGGAACAAGACAACAACUUUCAUUUUCAAAUAGUUAGACACCUAAUAAAUUCGAUUUUAUAUGGAGUUUAAAGUUGUGCCCACUACCAGAAAGCUGUUGUAAAAAUUGCGAGAAGAAGAAAAUUUUCCUUAUGGCCGAGAAACUCUUAGCAACUUAUUAAAGGAAAAUGGCUUUUAUUGGCGAAAGUGUCAGAAUAAAAGAAAAAUUUUAAUGGAGCGACCCAAUAUUUUAUCUUUAAGGUAUAAAUACCUAAGAGAAAUAAAAAAACUCCGAGAUGAAGGUCGCAAUAUUGUCUAUUUAGAUGAAACUUGGAUAGACAAUGACCUAACGUUUAAAAAAUGCUGGCAGAGUGAGACUGUUACUGGAGUAAGUGAAAGUAGUGAGACUGAACAGGUACAAAUUGAUUAUACUUAUUUAAAUAAUAAUUUAAAUUAUAUAUAUUAUGUAGUAAAUUCAAUGUUUAAACAGCAUAAUUCGGAUUAUCUGCCGUGCUCUUUCCCUAGCGAUAUCAAGGCAUCUAGUACGGCACUCUUAAUUUAAGUGAAUAGACUAAGUAGGUGUAUUACAAAUUUUGUAUUUUCUUUACUUUUCUUUUAUCUCAAACUUCCCUAAUCUUGUCUGUCAGGCGUAAUCGAGUUGGGUUACGAGAAUAUACAAACCAUAUGUACAUAUAUCAUAUCUAAAGCAUUUUUUUAUUACAUAUUUACAAAUAAAAUAUAUUAGAAGACCUUAAUUUCCAAAUUAAUAUCUUACCUACAAAUGCCUAUUUUAAAAUUAAAACCAAACCAUAUUUUUUAAUAUUUAAUACAUUCAAAUCUGUUUAUAAAAUUUCGUACGUCACUGGCCAUUUCAUGAAUGAAAUGAGGCGGGUCUAGUCUACAAGGACGUUCCCCGCACCGACACCGCUUAGCUACAGAUUGGUUGGGCAGACUUUACACAACUUAUAAGUACACCGCGAAAACUAGCCUCAAAACUAGAACCUAAAUAUAAGAAAACUAAGUUUAGAAAUCAGCGACAUCCCAAGAAUAUUAAAAGACGAUCAUAAUUUUCAGGAACAAAAACCAUGAAGCUAAUCAUUCUUCUACUUCCGCUAAUAGUCAAUGCCCAGUAUAAGAUUGAAGAAUUAACGAAUCCUUUGCUUUCAGUAUACCAAGGAAUUAGUUAUAUCGUAACAAAUUACCAUCUUGUAUAUUAUCAUGUUAAUUUAACCAACAUAAAAGACUGUCUAAACAUUACAAAAACAACCCUUUUACAAACCAAUAUCACCCUCGGAAAAACUAAUGUUACCCCUUACUUUCCCUUAUAUAAGCUAUUGAUAACACGAAUUCAUAAUCUAUUUGAACAAGUAAAAUCAAUAGAAUCUUUUAUUCAACAUUAUUCUACCCCUCAAAAAAGAGUCAAAAGAGGAUUAUUUCAUUUCAUAGGUAAAACUCAAAAAACUUGGCACUAUAGACGAUAGCGAUCAAGAACGUUAUGAUACGUAUAUAAAGACAUUGCAAGAUAACCAAAAUACCUUGCAUCAUGACCUUUCCCUAACCCAGACAAUCGUUAAAAACUUGACGAGAGACAUAGACACCCAACUAAGCAAUAUUAAAAAUAACCAGGAAGUAUUAUUGACCCAGGUCACUGACUUGAAACAAAUGACCCAGUCUGUCUAUAACCAUAACUUCUUAUUUUAUUUUGCUAUUUGACAAUUUAGAAAAUAACCUUCGUGUGCUACAUGAAAUCUAUACGAACGUGCAAACCGCAAUUAAUUUCGCUGAGAUAAAUAUAAUGCAUUACAGCAUUUUUAAAUAUCAAGAGCUUAAAACGAUUAUCUUGAACAUUUACCCUAACAAUCGGAUACCUUUUGACAAUAUAAUCAAAUACUAUGAAAUUGCACAUGCAGACGUAACAAUUAAAGACAAUUUAAUUAUAUUCUAAGUAGCCAUUCCACUAAUAUCGGAAAAACCUCACAUGCUCUAUCAUAUAUACCCAAUUCCUGUAAAUAAUCAAUUAUUCACCAUUAAUAACAAGUUGUUAAAAUCCAAUAAUAAUUUCUAUAAUUUAAGAAAAACCUGUUUUAAAAUAGAAGGCAUGUUUUUAUGUCCUAAUAAUUUGCUUAAUCAAAAUGAACCUUGCAUUGUUCAAACUAUUAACCUAACCAAUCAUUGCCCUAUGAUACCUAUAAAAUAAAAAGAGACGUCUGCUACACAGUUAAAUGAUAAUUCAAUCAUAGUAAUCCCGAUUUCUGAGAAAAAUAUCUAUUUUGAAUGUCCCAGUCAAUACAGUAUCGAAACUAUAAGUAAACCAACCCUACUUAUACCCUCAGAUUGUAAAGUAGAAAUAGAUGAUAAAAUUUUUGACCCACAGAGACCAGAGACAAUCAAUCUAAGAUUAAAACUUCCUUCGAUUAAUAUAGAUGAGCGAUUAGUUCAAAAUAUCGAACCCCUAGACUUAAAAGAAAUAAAUCUUGAAAACAUUAAAGAAGAUUUGGACAACACUCAAAAAUUGGUGGUUCACCCCUUACCGCACUUCGAUAGUAUAAAUUCCGUAUUAUCGAUUGCUCUGUUUAUUAUUAUUAUUAUCCUUGUAUUGGUCCUAAGUAUGUAUUUCUAUAAAAAAUAUAAAACAGAAAAUGUAAAAGUGGACAUAGAAUUGAAACCCCUCGAAAAUCCCCAAUUUUUUCAGACUUAAGGAAGGGAGGAAUUAUAUGCCCACUUAUGCUUAAUAUAAGUUUAGUUUAAGAUAAUAAUUGUCACAGCUUAUUCAGCAUUUAGAAGUAUAUAUAAAGAGGAUGUGAAAGAGGAGUAGUUAGUCAUCUUAGCGCAGUCAUAAGUAAGCUUUGCAACAUUGUAACAUAAAUUGUAUUCUUGUGUUUAAUAAAUUAAUUUUUUUAAAACA